CGGUAGACGCUACGGACUUAAAUAAUUUGAGCUUUAGUAGAAAAACUUAUUAAAUGCUAGCUUUCAGAUUCAGGGAAACUCAGGUUGAAAAAAGUAUAAGCAAUCCUGAGCCAAAUUUUAUUUCAAAAGUAAAAUAGGUGCAGAGACUCAAUGGAAGCUAUCCUAACGCAAAAAGUUUUAAGAUUUAUUUAAUGAAAAUUUAUAAAUUAAUAGAAAUAAAAUAAAAUUUUCAUUAAAACUCUCUUUUUAAAUAGCAAGCGAGGAUAAAGAUAGAGUCCAAUUUUACAUGUUAAUUUUAGCAACAAUUUAAAUUGUAGUAAAAAGAAAAUCCGUUGGCUUUAUUGACCGUGAGGGUUCAAGUCCCUCUACCCCCAAAACUGUGAAAUUUUUUUAUUGACAUUUAUUGACAUAAGCUUCGAGUUUAUGUUAGGAUAGCUGAAACUGAUAAAAAGCCGGGAUAGCUCAGUUGGUAGAGCAGAGGACUGAAAAUCCUCGUGUCAC
rnacentral:misc_RNA from 1 species